UNUGACUUGAGUGCAGAAGGGGAGAGUGGAAUUCCAUGUGUAGCGGUGAAAUGCGUAGAUAUAUGGAGGAACACCAGUGGCGAAAGCGGCUCUCUGGUCUGUCACUGACGCUGAGGCUCGAAAGCGUGGGUAGCGAACAGGAUUAGAUACCCUGGUAGUCCACGCCGUAAACGAUGAGUGCUAGGUGUUAGGCCCUUUCCGGGGCUUAGUGCCGGAGCUAACGCAAUAAGCACUCCGCCUGGGGAGUACGACCGCAAGGUUGAAACUCAAAGGAAUUGACGGGGGCCCGCACAAGCGGUGGAGCAUGUGGUUUAAUUCGAAGCAACGCGAAGAACCUUACCAGGUCUUGACAUCCCGAUGCUAUUCUUAGAGAUAGGAAGUUACUUCGGUACAUCGGAGACAGGUGGUGCAUGGUUGUCGUCAGCUCGUGUCGUGAGAUGUUGGGUUNNNNNNCGCAACGAGCGCAACCCUUAUUGUCAGUUGCCAUCAUUAAGUUGGGCACUCUAGCGAGACUGCCGGUAAUAAACCGGAGGAAGGUGGGGAUGACGUCAAAUCAUCAUGCCCCUUAUGACCUGGGCUACACACGUGCUACAAUGGUCGGUACAACGAGUCGCGAGCCGGUGACGGCAAGCUAAUCUCUGAAAGCCGAUCUCAGUUCGGAUUGGAGGCUGCAACUCGCCUCCAUGAAGUCGGAAUCGCUAGUAAUCGCGGAUCAGCACGCCGCGGUGAAUACGUUCCCGGGCCU
rnacentral:rRNA from 1 species